CCUACGGGAGGCAGCAGUGGGGAAUAUUGCACAAUGGGGGAAACCCUGAUGCAGCGACGCCGCGUGAGUGAUGAAGUAAUUCGUUAUGUAAAGCUCUAUCAGUAGGGAAGAAAAUGACGGUAUCUGAGUAAUAAGCACCGGCUAACUACGUGCCAGCAGCCGCGGUAAUACGUAGGGGGCAAGCGUUAUCCGGAAUUACUGGGUGUAAAGGGAGCGUAGACGGGAGUGCAAGUCAGGAGUGAAAGGCGGUGGCUCAACCCUAGGACUGCACUGGAAACUGUACGGCUGGAGUGCAGGAGAGGUAAGUGGAAUUCCUGGUGUAGCGGUGAAAGGCGUAGAUAUUAAGAGGAACACCCAUGGCGAAGGCGACUUACUGGACUGUAACUGACGUUGAGGCUCGAAAGCGUGGGGAGCAAACAGGAUUAGAUACCCUUGUAGUC
rnacentral:rRNA from 1 species